AUUCACUAUCUCCUUGCUGAACCUCUGCUCGCUAGCCGAUUCAAGGCGACCGCUUCCAUCCGCUCGCUUCCUUAGAUAGGCGCAAUAUAUCUCGUGUAGAUUUCUGACAUUAUGCUCUAUUGCCACCCACCAGGCUUUAAGUCGUGUCAUCAUAGAGGAUAGCUGGCGUGCACAGCCUCGGAAGGCGAGCUACACCCCCUUUAGAACUCCAUUAAUGAUUUCUCUCCCGUUAAGGUUACCUGCGGAAGGRKCAWUAUCGAGKUCUGAAACGGGUUGUAGCUGGCCUUCCGAGGCAUGUGCACGCCCUGCUCAUCCACUCUACACCUGUGCACUUACUGUGGGUUUCAGGAGCUUCGAAGCGAGGGUUUAACCGCUCUCGCCGAGUUGUUACUGGGCCUACGUUUAUCACAAACUCUCAAAGUAUCAGAAUGUAAACGCGUCUAACGCAUCUAUAUACAACUUUCAGCAACGGAUCUCUUGGCUCUCGCAUCGAUGAAGAACGCAGCGAAAUGCGAUAAGUAAUGUGAAUUGCAGAAUUCAGUGAAUCAUCGAAUCUUUGAACGCACCUUGCGCUCCUUGGUAUUCCGAGGAGCAUGCCUGUUUGAGUGUCAUGAAAUUCUCAGUCGGCUCCUCUCAAAUGCAUUAGCUUGGUUCCUUGCGGAUCGGCUCACGGUGUGAUAAUUAUCUGCGCCGCGACCGUUGAAGCGUUUAAUGGCCAGCUUCUAAUCGUCUCUUGCGAGACAGCUUUCAUCGCAACCUAACAAGUUCUUAACGGGACUUGCUUAGGCUUGGACUUGGAGGCUUGUCGGCUCUUUAGAACUCUGACCUCAAAUCAGGUAGGACUACCYGYUSRACUUAAGCAUAUCGAACGGGGGGGGGGAAAGGACCUUUUACCAAAGUAACGGUCUAGCACUUUCACUUCACACGACUUGGCUCUGCACGAUAAAAAGCACGAUGCGAUAGUAUGUGAAUUGCAAAGUCAGUGAAUCACGACUUGGACGCAUGGUGGGUAUUCGGUAGCAGCGUUGAGUGUCAGGAGGAGAGUUCUGAAACGGGUUGUAGCUGGCCUUCCGAGGCAUGUGCACGCCCUGCUAUCCUCUACACCUGUGCACUUACGUGGGUUUCAGGAGCUUCGAAGCGGGGGUUUAACCGCUUGCAGUUGUUACUGGGCCUACUUUAUAAAACUCUAAGUAUUUCUAUAAAGAUUCCAGGGGACUUGCUGAGGCUGACUGGGAGGCUGUCGGCCCUUGCAUCGCCAGUCUACUGGAUCGCAGGGCUGGAUAUAUUGGCCUGAAGCUUAAGGGCGGUUAGCCUGGGGGACCUAUAAUCUACUGGUGAACUAUACUUUGCGGAG
rnacentral:rRNA from 1 species